GCAUCUCUGACCGGCACUAAGUGUAGUGCGCCCCAUCCCGUGGAUUUGAAGCGACGGCUCCAUUUCCUUUCCGACUUCCCUCAUUUAAUCAAGUGCUUGCGCAACGGCCUGCUUAGCCAUGAGUACUUGGUGCCAGAAGGGCGGGUCUCCUUGCAAGCUGUACGUAGAGCCGUGGCAAUGGAUGGGAACAACGUGACACUCCAGGCACUACAUGGCAUCACCACCAGCCACACUCACCCGAACAACUUCGAAAAGAUGCGGGUUUCUUUAGCUUUCCAGCUAUUCAGUGACAAAGUUGUCAAGGGCAUGCAGCUCUACUGAGAAAAGAUUGAAGAACGGUGCGGUGAUAUUGCAGCAACACUACAUUUCUUUGAGAUCAUCCGUGACCUCAUCUUGAUAAUGACUUCCCGGUUUCCUGCCGAAGCAUUGAGACUUUCAUCACCAUCUGCGGACAAACUGAAGAACAUGCUGGUACUGCUGGACAACUGGGAACGUCACACAAAAGGACAGCGUGGCUUCCAGAGCCAGUCCACUGCAACAGGGCUCCGAGUUACUGUCUCAAGUGUAUUGUCAUUGCUGAAAUACCUUUGUGAAGUCGUAGGUUUUAAAUACCUGUUAACGAGCCGGACAAGCCAGGACCCCAUUGAGCACCUUUUUGCUAUAGUGCGGCAGUCAUGUGGAUGCAAUGCC